UUUUGCAGGCAACCUGAACAAAGGGAACAAGCAGCCCUGCUGCAGCAGACCAGUCCCAGGAAGCAAGGGAAAUGUGAUCCACAGGUGCAUUAUAAAAGGGAAGGCAGAGGUACAGGGGAAGGAAGCUUGCCUUUUGCUGCAGUGUGAGACAGUGCCUGGAUGUCUUGUGUCAUUGCACAUCUGGUGCAGAAAUAACCUGACCAUCAGAAGAAUUUGUUAAGACUUGUAACAGCCCAUGCAAAGAACUCAAGGUUUUGAACAAAUUCAAAAAGAGGACUUUGAGCAGAGCUGGAAAUGAGUGCAGGAGUUCUGGCUCAAGGUACCUCUGACUGAUUAAUUAUCCACUGAUGUGAUUCAGUCUCCAGAAAGAUCAGACAUACCCACCAUAAAGCAACCAAGCUCAAAGCAAAGGUAUGGGAUGCACAGCUGCAGACCUAGGUCAGCAGGAAACCCAUUGUGGGCUCAUACAAGUGGAUGAUGCUCCACACCUGGGCUUAGAUAUUCUGCUGCUUAUGUAAAUUCAUCAAAUGUAUUCCAUGUGCUCUCACACCUCUUGGAAGAGCCUAAUUCUCCUUGCUGAAUGAAAGAUGUAUUUAUUGAGGCACUUCAGAGGCCACUCUAGGAAAUGCAGGUGGUUCUCAUGGUUUGACCUGGAUCACAAAUGAAGACUUUUGCAGCAUAUUCAGCAGAGGACUUUCAAGCAAAGAUUGAGUAUUUAUGUUUUUGUUUGCUGUCAGUCAGUGAGAGGGUGAUGUGUCCUGUCCUUGCAGAAGUUGGUUAAGUGAAAGUAUUUCUUUAUGACCAUUGCCAUUUUCCCUUUAAUUUUGGUGCAGCGCUAAUCCCUCUCCUUUCAGGGUGUGUCAGUACACUUACAGACUAUGAUAAGUUGCCCAGCAUUGAAGGUUUUACAACCUUAUGUAUAUUUUUGAAUUUUUUUUUGGGACACAUAUAGAUCAUGUUAAAAACCAGAAGUCCAUUGUUCAAUCAAUCAAGUUAAUCCUGGUGCUCCUUGAUAACUAUAGCUAUCACAUUUCAGAGUGAUUUUAUUGGAUAUUACUGGGAUUACUUGUAGUAGCCACUCAGUCUAGACAGGGGUUUCUAUUACAGAGAACACAGACAAAAGGGUAAGAAAUAUUAAUGCCCAACAUCCAUUAACCAUGCACAAACUGCAUAUCAGAGAGUGGAUCCUGUUCACUUGGCUGGGGGUCUCCCUCCCUUUUGUUUAUCUCUCAGAAGACCACUGGCUUCUUAAUUAAAAGGAAAUACAUUGUCUUAAUAAAGGAGUAAGAAAGUAAGGAGCUGCUUGAAAAAAUUACCUCUUAGAGCUCAUAAAAAAUAGAGACAUUUCAAUCAACAGUCCCAAUUCUGAAAGGCCGGAGUAAUUUGCCCCAAAAUCUCUGGGAUGUCUUUCUCUUCCCACCUUUUUGUGAGAUGGGAGCAGUCACGGUGAUCUUGCUUUGAAACUUGGAAGGAUCUCCCACAGUCCUGUUGUGAGAAGUAUGAUGAAACACUCACCAGAGCUGGGUAAAAUCAUACUGCCUGGGCUUUCUGAAACAAAGCCUGUGGAAUGAGAAGCACUCCAGGAAUGCUGUGCCUUGAAUAAAUGUGAUGGGGCAGUGAUGCUGUUCCCACUGUCCCUUGGAAGAGAGCUCUGCUCAAUUAGGACUGUUGGCUGAAUAAAAUUAGACCUAGUUAACGAGGCACUGAGUGAGGUAAUGAAGUUAAACUCCAAAGCAUUUCAAAAUCGCGUUUUAUACUACUCCACAUGUUCAUAGAAUCAUAGCAUAUGGGCAAACAUUGUACUUGCUGCCUAGACCACUUGUGUCAGACUGUAUUUUGGAUAGGACAUAUUUCAGAUUGUUGUCAAAUUGCCCAUCAUAACAUGAGCUCCACCAGGUCUUUGAGAGAACGUUGGGAGUCAGGGGAACAGUAGAAAACUCAAACACUGCUUGCAUAUGGCUUGCUGUCCUAAAUUCAUGCACACAAAGACCUUGAUGUCCUUUUGUUCUUCACAUCCUUUGGGCAUCAAAAAUUAAUGAUCCUGUUGUUGGGAAGGGUUUGGGAUCAUGUAGAAGCAGAAGAGUAAAAAACUUUUUUUUUGUUGGAGGGUGGGAAUGAAAAACUAAUUCCCUAGUUAUAUUAGAAGCUUGCAAUUAUAUCAAGAUCCCCUUAA